CGAUGGCGUGGUGCAUUCUGUGGCUCAAAAGGCGACGGAACACCUGGGGCAGCACGUCGUCAGAUCGUAUGGCCUGGUCUCCCUAAGGGACCACCAAAGCGCUCAGGCAAGAGCACUACCAUUGGGAGGUAGCAACGGUGUAAAAGCCGUUUCCGGUUCGACUCCGGCAAAGCAAAAGUCUGUCCCCGCUAGCAACGAAAGUACCCUAAUCCCUAGGGCUUACGCCAACUAGGGCACCAGAAGGCUCGCAAGGCCGACUGGUGUUGCUAGACAAAGUAGUGCAGGUAGGGGGAGGCCACCCCUGACCGAAUCGAAACGUCAGCGAGUAGUUCGCUAGUGUAGGUAGUGGUUCCGCCAAUCAAACGGGACCGGGUACGGUGGCUGCAAGUGGGAGCUUGCGGACAAGAAACUAACACAUAAGGUUUCGAAAGGCCACUGGGAUAGGGUCAAGUCUACGCCC
rnacentral:sRNA from 1 species